GUCGUCAGCUCGUGUCGUGAGAUGUUGGUUAAGUCCGCAACGAGCGCAACCCCUACUGUUAGUUGCCAUCAUUCAGUUGGGCACUCUAGCGAGACUGCCGGUAAUAAACCGGAGGAAGUGGGGAUGACGUCAAAUCAUCAUGCCCCUUAUGACCUGGGCUACACACGUGCUACAAUGGUUGGUACAACGAGUUGCGAGUCGGUGACGGCGAGCUAAUCUCUUAAAGCCAAUCUCAGUUCGGAUUGUAGGCUGCAACUCGCCUACAUGAAGUCGGAAUCGCUAGUAAUCGCGGAUCAGCACGCCGCGGUGAAUACGUUCCCGGGCCUU
rnacentral:rRNA from 1 species